AGAGUUUGAUCCUGGCUCAGAACGAACGUUGGCGGCAUGGAUUAGGCAUGCAAGUCGAACGAAUCCCGGGGUAGCAAUACCUCGGGGGAAGUGGCGAAAGGGGCAGUAAUACAUGGAUAACCUACCCUGGGGAUGGGCAUAGCCGUUCUAACGAGCGGGUAAUACCCAGAGAUUCGGCGGCGGUGGCAUCACCGCUCCGGGAAAUGAGUUUCGCCUCGGGAGGGGUCCAUGCGAUAUCAGCUAGUUGGUGGGGUAACGGCCUACCAAGGCUUAGACGUCUAGCGGGUGUGAGAGCACGACCCGCGCCACUGGCACUGAGACACUGGCCAGACACCUACGGGUGGCUGCAGUCGAGGAUCUUCGUCAAUGGGCGCAAGCCUGAACGAGCGAUGCCGCGUGAGCGAUGAAGGCCUUCGGGUUGUAAAGCUCAAAAGGGGUGAGAAAGGGCAACUUGAUCGAACCCCAGUAAGCUCGGGCUAAGUUCGUGCCAGCAGCCGCGGUAAGACGAACCGAGCGAACGUUGUUCGGAAUCACUGGGCUUAAAGGGCGCGUAGGCGGGUGCUCAAGUCCGGGGUGAAAUCCUCCAGCUCAACUGGAGAACUGCCUCGGAUACUGGGUGCCUCGAGGGUGGUAGGGGUAUGCGGAACUAUCGGUGGAGCGGUGAAAUGCGUUGAUAUCGAUAGGAACUCCGGUGGCGAAGGCGGCAUACUGGACCACUUCUGACGCUGAGGCGCGAAAGCCAGGGGAGCAAACGGGAUUAGAUACCCCGGUAGUCCUGGCCCUAAACGAUGGGUACUAGCUAGUAGGGUUCACAUGGCUUUACUGGCGAAGCAAAAGUGCUAAGUACCCCGCCUGGGGAGUAUGGUCGCAAGGCUGAAACUCAAAUGAAUUGACGG
rnacentral:rRNA from 1 species